CGGGGGGAGCAAGCGUUGUUCGGAUUUACUGGGCGUAAAGGGCGCGUAGGCGGCCACCGCAAGUCGGUUGUGAAAGCUCUGGGCUUAACCCAGAAAGGUCAAUCGAUACUGCGGGGCUAGAGUGCAGAAGGGGCAACUGGAAUUCUCGGUGUAGCGGUGAAAUGCGUAGAUAUCGAGAGGAACACCUGCGGCGAAGGCGGGUUGCUGGGCUGACACUGACGCUGAAGCGCGAAAGCUAGGGGGAGCGAACGGGAUUAGAUACCCCGGUAGUCCUAGCCUUAAACGAUGAAUGCUUGGUGUCUGGGGUUUUAUAGUCCCCGGGUGCCGUCGCUAACGCUUUAAGCAUUCCGCCUGGGGAGUACGGUCGCAAGACUG
rnacentral:rRNA from 1 species